GACGAACGCUGGCGGCGUGCCUAAUACAUGCAAGUAGAACGCUGAAGGAGGAGCUUGCUUCUCUGGAUGAGUUGCGAACGGGUGAGUAACGCGUAGGUAACCUGCCUGGUAGCGGGGGAUAACUAUUGGAAACGAUAGCUAAUACCGCAUAAGAGUAGAUGUUGCAUGACAUUUGCUUAAAAGGUGCAAUUGCAUCACUACCAGAUGGACCUGCGUUGUAUUAGCUAGUUGGUGGGGUAACGGCUCACCAAGGCGACGAUACAUAGCCGACCGGAGAGGGUGAUCGGCCACGCUGGGACUGAGACACGGCCCAGACUCCUACGGGAGGCAGCAGUAGGGAAUCUUCGGCAAUGGACGGAAGUCUGACCGAGCAACGCCGCGUGAGUGAAGAAGGGUUUCGGAUCGUAAAGCUCUGUUGUAAGAGAAGAACGAGUGUGAGAGUGGAAAGUUCACACUGUGACGGUAUCUUACCAGAAAGGGACGGCUAACUACGUG
rnacentral:rRNA from 1 species